CAAGGUAUAGCUUAAUAUAAAGCACCUGGCUUACACCCAGAAAAUCUCAACACCACUUGAUUACCUUGA
rnacentral:tRNA from 5 species